rnacentral:rRNA from 1 species
AGAGUUUGAUCAUGGCUCAGAAUCAACGCUGGCGGCGUGCCUCAGACAUGCAAGUCGAACGCGAAAGCUCCCUUCGGGGAGCAAGUAGAGUGGCGCACGGGUGAGUAACACGUAGGUAAUCUACCUUUGGAUGGGGAAUAACAACCGGAAACGGUUGCUAAUACCGCAUAAUGCAGCGGCACCUAAUGGUGACAGUUGUUAAAGCGGGGGAUCGCAAGACCUCGCGUCUGAAGAGGAGCCUGCGGCAGAUUAGCUAGUUGGUAGGGUAACGGCUUACCAAGGCGAUGAUCUGUAGCCGGCCUGAGAGGGCGGUCGGCCACACUGACACUGACAUACGGGUCAGACUCCUACGGGAGGCAGCAGUCGGGAAUUUUGCGCAAUGGACGAAAGUCUGACGCAGCAACGCCGCGUGAGGGAUGACGGCCUUCGGGUUGUAAACCUCUUUUGUCAGGGACGAUGAUGACGGUACCUGACGAAUAAGCCACGGCUAACUACGUGCC